rnacentral:rRNA from 1 species
AGUGAACGCUGGCGGUAGGCCUAACACAUGCAAGUCGAACGGCAGCACAGUAAGAGCUUGCUCUUACGGGUGGCGAGUGGCGGACGGGUGAGGAAUACAUCGGAAUCUACUUUUUCGUGGGGGAUAACGUAGGGAAACUUACGCUAAUACCGCAUACGACCUACGGGUGAAAGCAGGGGAUCUUCGGACCUUGCGCGAUUGAAUGAGCCGAUGUCGGAUUAGCUAGUUGGCGGGGUAAAGGCCCACCAAGGCGACGAUCCGUAGCUGGUCUGAGAGGAUGACCAGCCCACCGGGAAAUAAGCACCGGGCCAGACCCCAAGGGGGGGCAGACGUGGGGAAUAUGGGAAAAGGGGCGCAAGCCUAACCCAGCCAUACCGGGGGGGGAAAGAAGGCCUUCGGUUUGUAAAGCCCUUUUGUUGGGAAAGAAAAGCAGGAGGUUAAUACCCCGCUGUUCUGGCGGUACCCAAAAAAUAAGCACCGGCAAACUUCGG